UACGUAGGUGACAAGCGUUGUCCGGAUUUACUGGGCGUAAAGAGCGCGCAGGCGGUCGUUCAAGUCGAGUGUGAAAGCCCCCGGCUCAACUGGGGAGGGUCACUCGAUACUGAUCGACUCGAAGGCAGGAGAGGGAAGUGGAAUUCCCGGUGUAGUGGUGAAAUGCGUAGAUAUCGGGAGGAACACCGGUGGCGAAGGCGGUUCUCUGGGCCGUGUACUGACGCUGAGGAGCGAAAGCGUGGGGAGCGAACAGG
rnacentral:rRNA from 1 species